AGUGAUCCUCCUGCUUCAGCCUACACCUGCAAAGAUUAUAGGAAGCUAACACAGAGACAGAAUGAAAACGUUCUUGCCAGGAGAGGUGUCAUCUCGAAAAGUAGAGACAGCAGCCACCUGCCCUCCCGCCAGACCGCGCAGAAGUUUUGCGGUGAGUCUCGCUGCUGCCUGGAGAGGUGGGGAGGGGGACGGGAACAGUGGCUCACCUCAAUUUUGCCCUCCUUGGCAGCCAGCUUCAAGGGCGUGAGGCCCUGCAGGUUUUGGAUGUCCUCAAGCUGCACAGUGGGGCAGAGGCGCGCCCCUGCCCUGAGGAGUUCGUCGUACAUGCGGAUCACCAGUUUGCUGUUCUCUUCAGAGUUGUCUGCGAUCAUCACCAGGGCAUGCAGAACGGUGUUGCCCAGGGAGUCGGCAGCCUGCAGGCUGGCGGGCUGGUACGGGUUCUCCAGGAGGUAGCUCACCACAUCCCACUGCUUGGUGCACGCAGCCAGAGAGAGGGGCAGCUCCCCUGUGGGCCAAGGCGCAGCCUGGGUCUCGGGCAUCCGACUUUCCAUCUGCCUACUCUGCCUGCUUCUCUGACGGGAGCCCAGGCCUCUGGGAAGUGACUCAGGCCUCUUUCCUGUCUGGGAGUACAGAACCAGUCCCCUGCCUCUUGAUCUUCUUUGCCAGAACACAGGCACAUUGCCCCUGAAUCCAGCCUCUGCCUGACUGAAUACUUCCCUUGAUCCAGGGCUAGGGAUGUGACCCAGGGCCUUUGCCCCCACAUGCUAAGAGGGUCUCUUCCACUCAGAGGCACCCCAGCUCUCCUGGUUGACAUAGGUCGGUUCUAGCAUGGCCCCCACCCCGGACCCAGUCAUGCUGAGCCUUCUUGAUCAAAGGAGGAUAAAAUCAUCUAAGACAAUUUGCUUUUUGAGGCAGCCUAGUAGUUAGAAGCUGGGUUUCAGGGUCAAGCAGCCUGGGGUAAGUGCCGAGUCUUCCACAUAUUAACCUUGGGACUUUGGACAGGGCCUGUGUUAUGGUUUAGGGCUAGAUCUCCCGCAGUCUCAUGUGCUCCUAGGUGGGCUUUGGAAGGGGCCUGGAUUGUGGGGCUUAGAGCUGACUUGCUGUCGGGAGGGAGGAUCUGACCCAUGAGCUAGGCUGCUGGGCGCGCGGCCUGGUUGUGUCUCUUCCUCAUCCUCUUGAGCUCUCUGC
ensembl:lincRNA